GGCUUUAGUGUUUGAGAUAUAAGCUACACACUGCAUUUUACCCCUAUGUUCUAUUUUCACCCAUGUCGGCCAUGUUUUUUACAAAAUUGAAAAUAAAACACAAACUUUAUUCUAGAUAUCCUAAGGAUCAUUCAGUUUAAGUUUUACUGGAAUUGGUUCAGUAGUUUCAGUGGAAAUGUUUCAAAUAUUUAACACCGGACAGACGACG
rnacentral:lncRNA from 1 species